rnacentral:rRNA from 1 species
GUGCAGCAGUCGCGAAUCCUCCGCAAUGCGGGAAACCGCGACGGGGGACCCGAGUGCCGUGGCAACGCCACGGCUUUUCCGGAGUGUAAAAAGCUCCGGGAAUAAGGGGCUGGGCGAAGGCCGGUGGCAGCCGCCGCGGUAAUACCGGCGGCCCGAGUGGUGGCCGCUAUUAUUGGGCCUAAAGCGUCCGUAGCCGGGCCCGUAAGUCCCUGGCGAAAUCCCACGGCUCAACCGUGGGGCUUGCUGGGGAUACUGCGGGUCUUGGGACCGGGAGAGGC